AAGUCGUAACAAGGUCUCCGUAGGUGAACCUGCGGAGGGAUCAUUAAUGAGAACUUGCCCUAACGGGUAGAUCUCCCCCUCUUAGCAAUGCAUCUUGUGUUGCGCCCACUCGGUCGCGGCCUUCGGCUGUCAGCGCUGGACAGAGGAAACUAAAACCUUUAUCACUGUCGUCAGAGUACUAUAUAAUAGUUAAAA
rnacentral:misc_RNA from 1 species